rnacentral:tRNA from 1 species
GACAUGUAUCUCAGUGGCAGAGCACAUGCCUAGCAUACAUGAGGCACUGGGUUCAAUUCUUAGCACUGCA